GACGAACGCUGGCGGCGUGCUUAACACAUGCAAGUCGAACGGAAAGGCCCUGCUUUCGUGGGGUGCUCGAGUGGCGAACGGGUGAGUAACACGUGAGUAACCUGCCCUUGACUUUGGGAUAACUUCAGGAAACUGGGGCUAAUACCGGAUAGGAGCUCCUGCUGCAUGGUGGGGGUUGGAAAGUUUCGGCGGUUGGGGAUGGACUCGCGGCUUAUCCGCUUGUUGGUGGGGUAGUGGCUUACCAAGGCUUUGACGGGUAGCCGGCCUGAGAGGGUGACCGGCCACCAUGGGACUACGGUAGGGACCAGUGUGCUACAGGGGGCAGUGGGGGAGAAUAUUGCCCAAUGGGAGGGAGGCUGGUAGGGAGACGCCGGGUUCGGGAAGACGGCCUUUGGGGUGUAAAACGCAUUAGCCUGUGACGAAGCGUGAGUGACGGUAAUGAGUAAAGAAGCACCGGCUAACUACGUG
rnacentral:rRNA from 1 species